AACGAACGCUGGCGGCAGGCUUAACACAUGCAAGUCGAACGCCCCGCAAGGGGAGGGGCAGACGGGUGAGUAACGCGUGGGAAUCUACCCAGAUCUUCGGAACAACUGAGGGAGACUUCAGCUAAUACCGGAUACGCCCUACGGGGGAAAGAUUUAUCGGUUCUGGAUGAGCCCGCGUUGGAUUAGCUAGUUGGUGAGGUAACGGCUCACCAAGGCGACGAUCCAUAGCUGGUCUGAGAGGAUGAUCAGCCACACUGGGACUGAGACACGGCCCAGACUCCUACGGGAGGCAGCAGUGGGGAAUAUUGGACAAUGGGCGAAAGCCUGAUCCAGCCAUGCCGCGUGAGUGAUGAAGGCCUUAGGGUUGUAAAGCUCUUUCAGUAGGGAAGAUAAUGACGGUACCUACAGAAGAAGCCCCGGCUAACUUCGUGCCAGCCGCCGCAGUAACAC
rnacentral:rRNA from 1 species